AAAUGCUCCUGUAAUCGCUUCGAAGUAUCAGGCGAACAGAAACGUCAGAAUCUAUAUAUGAAAGUGUAAUGUUACUCGUGCACAAUGUAUGGUGUGACUAUAACGAAUUCAAAUAACCUCAAUGUGCUUUUAACUUGUAAGGAAACAAAAAGGAAAAAUUAAAUGAAAUAUAUUAUUGAUGAAAUAUGUAAAUUAAACAGAAAAACAGAGAUGAUGAAUAGAAGAUCGAUGUUAUGGAUUCUUUCACUGUUGCAAGUAUACAUACUUUGGAGAAUUAUAAUUGUUCGGGAUGGUAACAGGAUUGUCCCUGUACUUCAGAGAUAAAGAGACAAGUUCUGAUACAUAUAUUAAUAGAAGUAUGCAUUUAUGCUGAUUUCCAAAUGAUGAUGUCUUUAAAAAUAUAAAUAUAGGUAAUUCCAAGAAAAUGUGUAAAUAGAAUAGAAUGACAUGAUAAAUGCCAUUGAUAAAUCAAACUAGUAAUGCCAGUAUAUUAAACAUCAGUUGUGAUCACAUGAAAUCACAAAUGAAUUGAUUUCAAAGUAUUAUGGACUCCAGUUGCAUAUAUAUAAACUCUAGAGAAAAAUAAUUGUUCAGGAAGGUAACAGAGGCUUAUUUCUGUACUUCGAUGAGACAAGUGAGACAAGUUCUGAUACAUAUAUUAAUGGAAGAAUGUUUUUAAACCGAGUGUGACACUUUAAUUUAAGGUUACCAUUACCUAGAAUAGACCAAGUCUGAUUUUCGAAUGAUACUCUUUUCAAAUAUAAAUGAAUGUUUUGGAAAUCAUAAUGUUUAUUUAUACCUUUUUAUUGCCAAAGAAAAAGCAGGUGACAAUUGAAAUAUGUUAACAAAUAAAUAUUUCAAGUAAAUGAAUGCAAAUUAAUGAAUUUAUAUGAAAUGAUGUGAUGAAUGCACAUUAAUGAAUAAAUGCUCAAAAUAGAACCCAGAUUUAAUGAAUAUUAUGGCAAUAAAUUACUCAAUGUUGAGCUUACAUAGAUGUGAUCUCUUCGUAUUGUGUCAGGAGAUUCUGAGACUAUGGAGCGAUGUAGCUAUCCAGAUUUUCUGCGAACACUAGAAAUCCUGGUUCCUGAGUUCUGAAUCUUACAAUGGACAGCAUAAUUUUGGAAUACUACUAACUGUAUAUCUUGCAGUUUCUUACAGACCCCAUGCACACUUUGUUUGUUUACACAAACACCUCUUAAUAAACUCAAUUUAAAACAAUUUGGUGAAAUCUAUCAGAUGCUAUGAAGACCGAAUAAGGAAGAUAAAAUAUCUGAGCAUGAAUAUUAUAAUAAUGUGGAGAGCGAGUUGUUCUUGUACCUUUGAGAAGCAGUGACUACUUUUAGUUAUAUAUGAUGUUCUUUAUAUUAACUUUAUAUCAAUUGAAGUUCAGAAUUUCUUGUAAAUGAAAUUUAUGGAGUUUUCAAUGAACUGUUUGAAAAUAGAUUAGAUAGAUAGUUCAAGGUAUAUAUAUAUAUAUAUAUAUGCCAAGUUGAAUCCAUGGACUUCUACCCGC